rnacentral:lncRNA from 1 species
UUGCCAGAGCAGGUAUAAAUUCUCUUUGCAAAUUAAAUAAAACUGACACCGAAAAUUGUACUAACACCAAUAAUAGCGAAAAGUUGCUUCAUGCCUUUGAAUUUUAUAAAUUACACCACAUACUAGUAACAAUAAUAUAGGCACAGCUAAUUUAUCAUAAAAAUGAACAGAAUUGUUGCAUCCCAUGGAAUGAAUUUUCAAGGAUCGUAGAAUUUUCUUGGCUAUUACCAUUAUCAAUAUAUAGGUACAUUAAAAGAACCCACCUUUUGCCCCCCCGCCAAAAAAGGGGAUAACUGAAUGAUAUAUUAUUGUAUUCAAAAUGAAGUUUAGCAGUCAUAGAGCACAAAUAACAUAAUGGGAAAAUUUAAUCAGAUUUCUGCAUAUUAUGCCAAUUUGCCCCCCACCUUUGAUGAAGGAAAAGAGAAAUAUCAUAUAAAAAAUUGGGCAAAGAAGACAAGGAAAAGAUCGGAUUUGUAAUAAAGCUAGUGGAUAAAGACAAACUUUAGUACUUACCCAGCAUCAAAGGUUUCCCACUACUAACCGGAGCAGAUUGGUAAUAUGUGUUUUGAUGCCUCAGAAAACAGUAACCUUACUAGUUUUCAAUUGUACAAGGAGAUGAUGGCAAAUCGGCAAGCUGUUUUCACUAAGCA